rnacentral:siRNA from 1 species
CUAAACAUGACUCUGGUGUUGUAG